AUGAACGCUGGCGGCGUGCCUAAUACAUGCAAGUCGCGCGCACGGACGAGAAGCUUGCUUCUCUGAUGUUAGCGGCGGACGGGUGAGUAACACGUGGAUAACCUACCUAUAAGACUGGGAUAACUUCGGGAAACCGUAGCUAAUACCGGAUAAUAUUUUGAACCGCAUGGUUCAAAAGUGAAAGACGGUCUUGCUGUCACUUAUAGAUGGAUCCGCGCUGCAUUAGCUAGUUGGUAAGGUAACGGCUUACCAAGGCAACGAUGCAUAGCCGACCUGAGAGGGUGAUCGGCCACACUGGAACUGAGACACGGUCCAGACUCCUACGGGAGGCAGCAGUAGGGAAUCUUCCGCAAUGGGCGAAAGCCUGACGGAGCAACGCCGCGUGAGUGAUGAAGGUCUUCGGAUCGUAAAACUCUGUUAUUAGGGAAGAACAUAUGUGUAAGUAACUGUGCACAUCUUGACGGUACCUAAUCAGAAAGCCACGGCUAACUACGUG
rnacentral:rRNA from 1 species